rnacentral:rRNA from 1 species
UACGUAGGGGGCAAGCGUUGUCCGGAUUUACUGGGCGUAAAGCGCGUGUAGGCGGCCCGGCACGUCCGUCGCUGAAAUCCCCCGGCUCAACCGGGGAAGGGGCGUGGAUACGACCGGGCUGGAGGGGGGUAGGGGGAGCCGGAAUUUCCGGUGGAGCGGUGAAAUGCGUUGAGAUCGGAAGGAACGCCCGUGGCGAAAGCGGGCUCCUGGACCCCACCUGACGCUGAGACGCGAAAGCGUGGGGAGCGAACAGG